UAUCACUAAGCGGAGCACAAGGGUCCCUGCCUUGCCCGAGGUCUGGAACUUGAAGAACGUUUCCUUUAGUUUGGCCCCCGUCUAUGUUCCUUGGAACAGGACGUCAUAGAGGGUGAGAAUCCCGUGCGAUGGGGUGUCCAUUCUUUGUAAGUUUCCUUCGACGAGUCGAGUUGUUUGGGAAUGCAGCUCUAAGUGGGUGGUAAAUUCCAUCUAAAGCUAAAUAUUGGCGAGAGACCGAUAGCGAACAAGUACAGUGAUGGAAAGAUGAAAAGAACUUUGAAAAGAGAGUGAAAAAGUACGUGAAAUUGUUGAAAGGGAAGGGUAUUUGAUCAGACUUGGUAUUAGAAUAUGGCAGCUCUCGGGUUGUCCUCUAUUCUUUUACUGGGCCAGCAUCGGUUCGGAUGGCAAGAUAAUUACGUUUGAAUGUGGCUCCUCGGAGUGUUAUAGCUUUCGUAGAUAUUGCCUGUCUGGACCGAGGACUGCGUCUUUUGACUAGGAUGCUGGCGUAAUGAUUAAAUACC
rnacentral:rRNA from 1 species